UUCCGGUUGAUCCUGCCAGAUCCGACUGCUAUCCGGGUAAGACUAAGCCAUGCAAGUCGAAUGGAACAGCUUGUUCCAUGGCGAACUGCUCAGUAACAAGUAAUCAACUUACCCUUCAGUGGAGAAUAACCUCGGGAAACUGAGGCUAAUACUUCAUAGUUGGAAAUUCCUGGAAUGGUUUUCCAUCGAAAGAUAUUUCUAAAUGCAGAAAAUUCGCUGAAGGAUAGGAUCGCUUUCGAUUACGGUUGUUGGUGAGGUAAUGGCUCACCAAGCCUAUGAUCGAUAAGGGCCGUGAGAGCGGUAGCCCUGAGAUGGAUACUGAGACAAUGAUCCAGGCCUUACGAGGCGCAGCAGGCGCGAAACCUUUACAAUGCACGAAAGUGUGAUAAGGUUACCCGGAGUGCUAAAAUUAAAUUUUAGCUGUUAUAGGUGUGUAAAUAACCCUAUGAGAAAGGAGAGGGCAAGGCUGGUGCCAGCCGCCGCGGUAAAACCAGCUCUUCAAGUGGUCGGGAAUAUUAUUGGGCUUAAAGUGUCCGUAGCCGGUUUGGUAAGUUCCUGGUUAAAUCUGGCAGCUUAACUGUCAGUCAGCUAGGAAUACUACUUUACUAGAGGGUGGGAAAGGUUUGAGGUACUCCAGGGGUAGCGGUGAAAUGCGAUAAUCCUUGGGGGACCACCAGUGGCGAAGGCGUCAGACUGGAACACGCCUGACGGUGAGGGACGAAAGCCAGGGGAGCGAACGGGAUUAGAUACCCCGGUAGUCCUGGCCGUAAACGAUGCGUGCUAGGUGUUGGUAGGGCUUUGAGCCGUAUCAGUGCCGUAGGGAAACUGUUAAGCGCGCCGCCUGGGAAGUACGCUCGCAAGGGUGAAACUUAAAGGAAUUGGCGGGGAAGCACCACAAGGGGUGAAGCCUGCGGUUCAAUUGGAUUCAACGCCGGA
rnacentral:rRNA from 1 species